AUUGAACGCUGGCGGCAUGCUUUACACAUGCAAGUCGAACGGUAACAGGCCGCAAGGUGCUGACGAGUGGCGAACGGGUGAGUAAUGCAUCGGAACGUGCCCAGUCGUGGGGGAUAACGCAGCGAAAGCUGUGCUAAUACCGCAUACGAUCUAUGGAUGAAAGCGGGGGACCGUAAGGCCUCGCGCGAUUGGAGCGGCCGAUGGCAGAUUAGGUAGUUGGGGGGGUAAAGGCCUACCAAGCCGACGAUCUGUAGCUGGUCUGAGAGGACGACCAGCCACACUGGGACUGAGACACGGCCCAGACUCCUACGGGAGGCAGCAGUGGGGAAUUUUGGACAAUGGGCGCAAGCCUGAUCCAGCAAUGCCGCGUGCAGGAAGAAGGCCUUCGGGUUGUAAACUGCUUUUGUACGGAACGAAACGGUCUGGGUUAAUACCCUGGGCUAAUGACGGUACCGUAAGAAUAAGCACCGGCUAACUACGUGCCAGCAGCCGCCGCCGUAA
rnacentral:rRNA from 1 species